UAACGCGAAGAACCUUACCAAGGCUUGACAUACAGGGAAAACUGUCAGAGAUGGCAGGUCCGCAAGGGCCCUGUACAGGUGGUGCAUGGUUGUCGUCAGCUCGUGUCGUGAGAUGUUGGGUUAAGUCCCGCAACGAGCGCAACCCUUGUCCUAUGUUGCCAGCGGUUCAAGCCGGGGACUCAUAGGAGACUGCCGGGGUCAACUCGGAGGAAGGUGGGGACGACGUCAAGUCAUCAUGGCCCUUAUGUCUUGGGCUGCAAACAUGCUACAAUGGCCGGUACAGAGGGCUGCUAAACCGUGAGGUGGAGCGAAUCCCUAAAAGCCGGUCUCAGUUCGGAUUGGGGUCUGCAACUCGACCCCAUGAAGUAGGAGUCGCUAGUAAUCGCAGAUCAGCAACGCUGCGGUGAAUACGUUCCCGGGUCUUGUACACACCGA
rnacentral:rRNA from 1 species